AGGAGAAGAGACUGUCAGCUUAGCCAAGGAUGAUUGCCUGGAAAACCAAACAUGGAAGGUUUUUUCCAAGACAAAAAAAAAAAUACCCUGUCAUUACAAAGGUUUCAGGCAAGUCAUCCUUGGCUACCAAACAAGACUCUUGUCU
rfam:Corchorus olitorius cultivar O-4 contig15187, whole genome shotgun sequence.